AGAGUUUGAUCCUGGCUCAGGACGAACGCUGGCGGCGUGCUUUAGACACGCAAGUCGAACGAGAUCUUCGGAUCUAGUGGCGAACGGCGGAGUAAUACAUAAACAACGUGCCCUGAAGACUGGGAUAUACGGUCGAAAGGCCGAGCAAUACCGGAUGUGGCCGAGACUAGGCAUCUAGACUCGAUUAAAUGGUUUUUCGCUUCAGGAGCGGUUUAUGACUCAUCAGCUAGUUGGUAGGGUAAUGGCCUACCAAGGCUACGACGGGUAGGGGGUCUGAGAGGAUGAUCCCCCCGAGUGGGACUGAGACACGGCCCACACACCUACGGGUGGCAGCAGUUUGGAAUCUUGCCCAAUGGGGGAAACCCUGAGGCAGCGACGCCGCGUGGAGGAUGAAGGAUUUAGGUCUGUAAACUCCUUUUGCCAGGAAAGACUUAGGACGGUACCUGGCGAAUAAGCUCCGGCUAACUACGUGCCAGCAGCCGCGGUAAUACGUAGGGAGCAAGCGUUGUCCGGAUUUACUGGGCGUAAAGGGCGCGUAGGCGGCCUGUUAAGUGUGAAGUGAAAUCUCCAGAGCUCAACUCGGAAACUGCUUCGCAUACUGGCAGGCUGGAGGAAGGUAGAGGUAAGUAGAAUUCCCGGUGUAACGGUGACAUGUAAAAAUAUCGGGAGGAAUACCAAUGGCGAAGGCAGCUUACUGGACCUUUCCUGACGCUGAGGCGCGAAAGCGUGGGUAGCAAACAGGAUUAGAUACCCUGGUAGUCCACGCCCUAAACGAUGGAUACUAGGCGUUAGGGGUAUCG
rnacentral:rRNA from 1 species